AUGGAGAGUCUCCAUCCAGCUGGAUCACUGUCACAGGGGAACACACCACCACACCUCCACCUACAUCCACGCCUCCACCUCCAUCCACCUCUAACCCUGCAUCUACCCCUGAUCCAGCUGCAGUGAGAACAUAAGACAUCUGAGAAAACAGACCCAGAGUUUCUGCCGCCACAGAUCUGAGACGUGAGCCACCAGACCAACAACUGCAACCAAGCUUCUGGUCUUUCUUUGUGUUUCUUUUAAAAGGUUCUACUGAUAAA